GUAAAGGCUUGCAGUGGAUACCUAGGCACCCAGAAAUGAAGAAGGGCAUAGUAAUCGACGAAAUUCUUUAGGGAGUAGAAAAUAAGCAUAGAUCCAGAGAUUUCCGAAUAGGAAAACAUUUCGAACUGCUGCUGAAUCCAUAGGAAGGCAAGAGACAACCUGGUGAACUAAAACAUCUUAGCAGCCAGAGGAAAAGAAAGCAAAAAUGAUUCCAGUAGUAGUGGCGAGCGAAAUAGGAGCAACCUAAACCAAGGAAAUAGGGUUGUGGGAGAGCAAUACAAGCAUCGUGCAACUAGGCAAAGAACCUAAAUGUUGAACCCGAGAUGGAGAAAGUCCAGUAGCCAAAAGCAUCACUAGCUUAUGCUCUAUCCCGAGUAGCAUGGGGCAUGUGGAAUCUCGUGUGAAUCAGCAAGGACCACCUUGCAAGGCUGAAUACUCCUAAGGACAGAUAGCGAAGUAGUACCAUGAGGAAAGGGUGAAAAGAACCCCCAUUGAGGAGUAAAAUAGAACAUGAAACCAUAAGCUCCCAAGCAGUGGGAGGAGCCAGGGCUCUAACCGCGUGCCUAUUCAAGAAUGAGCCAAUGACUCAUAGGCAGUGGCUUGGUUAAGGGAACCCACCAGAGCCGUAGCAAAAAUAAGUCUUCAUAGGGCAAUUGUCACUGCUUAUGGACCUGAACCUGGGUGAUCUAUCCAUGACCAGGAUGAAGCUUGGGUAAAACUAAGUGGAGGUCCGAACCAACUGAUGUGGAAGAAUCCUCGGAUGAGUUGUGGUUAGGGUUGAAAUGCCACUCAAACCCAGAGCUAGCUGGUUCUCCCCAAAAUUCAUUGAGGUGAAGUAAUUGACUGGACAUCUAGGGCUAAAGCACUAUUUUGGUGCGGGCUGCUAGAAUGGGGGAUAAGAUUCAUCGUCGAGAGGGAAAAAGCCCGGAUCACCAGCUAAGGCCCCUAAAUUACCGCUCAGUGAUAAAGGAGGUAGGGGUACGGAGACAGCCAGAAGGUUUGCCUAGAAGCAGCCACCCUUGAAAUAGUACAUAAUAGCUCACUGAUCGAGCGCUAUUGUAGAAAAGAUGAAUGGGGCUAAGUGAUCUGCCAAAGCUGUGGGGUGUAAAAAUACAUCGGUAGGGGAGCGUUCUUCCUUAGAGAAAAGCCUCCGCAUGAGCAGUGGUGGACGAAGUAGAAGCAAGAAUGUCAGCUUGAGUAACGCAACAUUGGUGAGAAUCUAAUGCCCCCAAAACCUAAGGGUUCCUCCACAAGGUUCGUCCAUAGAGGUUGAGUCAGGGCCUAAGAUCAGGCCAAAAGGUUAGUCGAUGGACAACAAGUGAAUAUUCCUUUACUACCCCUUGUUGGUCCAGAGGGACGGAGGAGGCUAGGUUAGCCGAAAAAUGGUUAUCAGUUCAAGAAUUUAAGGUGUCCCUAUAUUUUUUCAAGGUAAGAAGGGGUAGAUAAAAUGACUCAAGCCAAUGUUCGAAUACCGGGCGCUACGACGCUGAAGUAACCCAUGCCAUACUCCCAGGAAAAACUUGAAUGACUUUGAGCAAGAGGGUACCUGUACCCAAAAUCGACAAAGGUGGGUAGGUAGAGAAUACCUAAGGGUGCGAGACAACUCUCUCUAAGGAACUCAAAAAAAUAGCCCCAUAACUUCGGGAGAAGGGGGCCUCUUUACAUCACAAAGGGGGUGGCAAUGACCAGGCUCGGACGACUAUUUACCAAAAACAUAGGUAUCUGCAAAGUUGUAAGACCAUGUAUAGGGGCUGACGUCUGCCCAGUGCCGGAAGGUCAAGGAAGUUGGUGACCUGAUAAUAGGAGAGCCAACGAUCGUAGCCCCGGUGAAUGGUGACCAUAACAAUAAUGGUUGUAAGGUAGAAAAAAAUUUUGUUAGGUAAGUUCAGACCCAUACGAAAGGUGUAAUGAUUUGGGCUCUGUCUCGGAGAGAGGCUCGGUGAAAUAGACAUGUCUGUGAAGAUAUGGACUACCUGCACCUGGACAAAAAGACCCUAUGAAGCUUCACUGUUCCCUGGGAUUGGCUUUGGGCCUUUCCUACACAGCUUAGGUGGAAGGCAAAGAAGGCCUCCUUCCUAGGAGGGAGGGUGGGGGGCGAGCCAUCAGUGAGAUACCAUUCUGGUAGGGCUAGAAUUCUAACAUUGUGUCAGGACCUACGGGCUAAGGGAUAGUCUCAGGUAGAUAGUUUCUAUGGGGCAUAGUCCUCCCAAAAGGUAACAGAGGCAUCCAAAGGUUUUCUUAGGCAAGACAUAGAUUGGCCCUCGAGUGCAAAGGCAGAAGAGAGCUUGACUGCAAGACCCACCCAUUGAGCAGGGACAAAAGUCGGCCUUAGUAAUUAGAUAAUACCAAGUGGAAGUGCCAUUUCUUAAUGGAUAAAAGUUACUCUAGGGAUAACAGGUUGAUUUUCCCCAAAAUCUCACAUUGACGGGAAGGUUUGGCACCUCAAUGUCGGCUCUUCGCCACCUGGGGCUGUAGUAUGUUCUAAUGGUUGGGCUGUUCGCCCAUUAAAGCGGUACAUGAGCUGGGUUUAGAACAUUGUGAGACAGUUCGGUCCAUAUUCGGUGUGGGUGUAGAGCAUUGAGAGGACCUUUCCCUAGUAAGAGAGGACUAGAAAGGACGCACCUCUGGUGUACCAGUUAUCGUUCCCACGGUAAACGCUGGGUAGCCAAGUGUGGAACGGAUAACUGCUGAAAGCAUCUUAGUAGUAAACCUACCCCAAGAUGAGUGCUCUCUUAUUCCGACUUCCCCAGAGCUUUCGGUAGCACAUCCGAGACAGCGAUGGGUUCUCUACCCCUUGUGGGGAUGCAGCGAUAAAAGAUUUUUGAGAAUUCAAGGAAAGGUCACGGUGAGAUGAUCCAUUUAUCAUUAUAAUAGGUGUCAAGUUGAAGUACAGUGAUGUAAGCAGCUGAGGCAUCCUAACAGACCGAUAGACUUGAAC
rnacentral:rRNA from 1 species